rnacentral:rRNA from 1 species
GACGAACGCGGCGGCGUGCCUAAUACAUGCAAGUAGAACGCUGAAGGAGGAGCUUGCUCUUCUGGAUGAGUUGCGAACGGGUGAGUAACGCGUAGGUAACCUGCCUGGUAGCGGGGGAUAACUAUUGGAAACGAUAGCUAAUACCGCAUAAGAGUAGAUGUUGCAUGACAUUUGCUUAAAAGGUGCAAUUGCAUCACUACCAGAUGGACCUGCGUUGUAUUAGCUAGUUGGUGAGGUAACGGCUCACCAAGGCAACGAUACAUAGCCGACCUGAGAGGGUGAUCGGCCACACUGGGACUGAGACACGGCCCAGACUCCUACGGGAGGCAGCAGUAGGGAAUCUUCGGCAAUGGACGGAAGUCUGACCGAGCAACGCCGCGUGAGUGAAGAAGGUUUUCGGAUCGUAAAGCUCUGUUGUAAGAGAAGAACGAGUGUGAGAGUGGAAAGUUCACACUGUGACG